UUGUCUUGAAGCAGAAAGUGAAGGCUUUUAUUCUUAACAUCGCCUGUCGUUGUGCUGUACUUGUUAGAUUUGUUUGCAGCGCGUGUUGAGAGAGAAAUGUAGGGGUGUCGGGUGAUGGGACAUUAUAACUAAACCGAGGCCUUUCAUUUUGACGUUCGUAAUUACAUUCUGCAACUUGACGUGCAGCUGGCUGUCAGUUAGUUACAGAUAGCUUAGUUUAGUGCUGGUAGGAAACACGCACCAACGUAGUGAGCUCACGGGGAGAGUGCCUCCGCAGUAAAUUCUACAACUUGUCAAGGCACUUUGUAAAAUGAUUUCCCCUCGCGGCUUGUCUGCUCCUCUUGUCCGGCGACGACUAGUAGGCUACUCGUGCCGGUGAGUGGCUACUCGUUUGUGGCUAGAGCGUAGGCAAUUAUUUUAUCAGGGGCGUCCUGAUGUAGCCUAUGCUCUGCUCACUGGAGCUCUACUGAUGUUUUCUUGUUGCUGCGCUGCUCUGUCACCUGCCUGUGCGUCUGGGGUCGGUCUGGACCAUCCCAGCAUACUGAGGCUAUCCCACUGAAGAUGUGUGUCUCGUUAGUGCUUGUGCAUGUGUUGUUAAGAUCCUUUACUAUGCUUUAUGCUUCACCCGAACCGUUUUGAGUGUGCACUCACUGUAUUAUUCAUCACCAGGUUAACCAGAGAUCGCCCUGGCGUCCGGAUCCUUUGUAAGCUGAUCACGUUAUGUCCGUCUGUGCUAAGACUGGAAGUGACUGAAAGAAAACGCAGAUUCAUUCUUACAGCAAGGUGACCAAAAUCUGUUUCACUCUGCAGCACUUGUCCCGGAGGUUUUGUAGACGGAACUGGAAGUGACUGAAAGAAAACGGAGAUUCAUUCCUUCAGCAAGGUGACCAAAAUCUGUUUCGCUCUGCAGCACUUAUCCCGGAGGCUUUGUAGACAGAGUGACUGAACGAAAACCUAAAUGAGAAAUGCUGUGUGCCUCAUCUUGAACUCUUUCACAUGGUGAUUCCUACACAUAAUUGCACACUGUAUGUGUUUAGCUAUCCUAUCUUACAAAGACUUAUUGCCAAUACUGUAUCUGCCUUUCCUCAAUACAAUGUAAAAAGUGCUGCAUAGACCAUUUAGAGAAGCAAUGUCUCAUGACUUUUGCUGUAUGUUUAUUUUUGAUCAAGUUUCAUUUGUUUUGUAAAAUAUCUUUGCAGAUUUUCUUUUCGUGCCUGGACACUUUUUUCCUUUCAAAUAUUGCUUUGAAUUGAUGCAAAUUGAAGAACGUGAAUCCCUGGUAAUAAAGGAAGGUUGACCAGAAAAUAA